GAAGCCGGAGCGCCAGCUUCGGUGGAGGCGGCGGUGGGAUACCACCCUGGCGAUAUUGAAAUUCUAACCCGCACCCCUUAGCGGGGUGGGAGACAGUGUCAGGCGGGCAGUUUGACUGGGGCGGUCGCCUCCCAAAAGGUAACGGAGGCGCCCAAAGGUUCCCUCAGAAUGGUUGGAAAUCAUUCGGAGAGUGCAAAGGCACAAGGGAGCUUGACUGCGAGACGGACAGGUCGAGCAGGGACGAAAGUCGGGCUUAGUGAUCCGGUGGUUCCGCAUGGAAGGGCCAUCGCUCAACGGAUAAAAGCUACCCCGGGGAUAACAGGCUGAUCUCCCCCAAGAGUCCACAUCGACGGGGAGGUUUGGCACCUCGAUGUCGGCUCAUCGCAUCCUGGGGCUGUAGUCGGUCCCAAGGGUUGGGCUGUUCGCCCAUUAAAGCGGUACGCGAGCUGGGUUCAGAACGUCGUGAGACAGUUCGGUCCCUAUCCGUCGCGGGCGCAGGAAAUUUGAGAGGAGCUGUCCUUAGUACGAGAGGACCGGGAUGGACGCACCGCUGGUGUACCAGUUGUCCCGCCAGGGGCACCGCUGGGUAGCUAUGUGCGGACGGGAUAAGCGCUGAAAGCAUCUAAGCGUGAAGCCCCCCUCAAGAUGAGAUUUCCCACCGCGUCAGGCGGGUAAGAUCCCUCGAAGAUGACGAGGUCGAUAGGUCCGAGGUGGAAGCGUGGCGACACGUGGAGCUGACGGAUACUAAUCGAUCGAGGGCUU
rnacentral:rRNA from 1 species